rnacentral:rRNA from 1 species
CGCGAAUCGCCCUUCGGGGUGCAGCAGGCGCGAAAACUUUACAAUGCUGGCAACAGCGAUAAGGGGACCUCGAGUGCCAGGAUACAAUCUUGGCUGUCGUGAUGCCUAAAAAGCAUUGCAUAGCAAGGGCCGGGCAAGACCGGUGCCAGCCGCCGCGGUAACACCGGCGGCUCGAGUGGUAACCGCUAUUAUUGGGUCUAAAGGGUCUGUAGCCGGCCGGAUAAGUCUCUUGGGAAAUCCGACAGCUCAACUGUCGGGCUUUCAGGGGAUACUGUUCGGCUCGAGGCCGGGAGAGGUGAGAGGUACUUCAGGGGUAGGGGUGAAAUCUUGUAAUCCUUGAAGGACCACCAGUGGCGAAGGCGUCUCACCAGAACGGUCCUGACGGCAAGGGACGAAAGCUAGGGGCACGAACCGGAUUAGAUACCCGGGUAGUCCUAGCCGUAAACGAUACUCGCUAGGUGUCGGCCACGGUGCGACCGUGGUCGGUGCCGUAGGGAAGCCGUGAAGCGAGCCACCUGGGAAGUACGGCCGCAAGGCUGAAACUUAAAGGAAUUGGCGGGGGAGCAC